UUCGUUAAGAAGAAACAGCCGUUUCUCACCCUGCAGUGUCUAAUGAUUACUAGUAGAGGUUAUAUGUCUAUGCAUUAUUUUGAUUGAGAUGACGGCUAUUAUGGCCGUCUUUUUUAUUGUGU
rnacentral:sRNA from 1 species